GAUGAACGCUGGCGGCGUGCCUAAUACAUGCAAGUCGAGCGAAUGGAUUAAGAGCUUGCUCUUAUGAAGUUAGCGGCGGACGGGUGAGUAACACGUGGGUAACCUGCCCAUAAGACUGGGAUAACUCCGGGAAACCGGGGCUAAUACCGGAUAACAUUUUGAAUCGCAUGGUUCGAAAUUGAAAGGUGGCUUCGGCUGUCACUUAUGGAUGGACCCGCGUCGCAUUAGCUAGUUGGUGAGGUAACGGCUCACCAAGGCAACGAUGCGUAGCCGACCUGAGAGGGUGAUCGGCCACACUGGGACUGAGACACGGCCCAGACUCCUACGGGAGGCAGCAGUAGGGAAUCUUCCGCAAUGGACGAAAGUCUGACGGAGCAACGCCGCGUGAGUGAUGAAGGCUUUCGGGUCGUAAAACUCUGUUGUUAGGGAAGAACAAGUGCUAGUUGAAUAAGCUGGCACCUUGACGGUACCUAACCAGAUAGCCACGGCUAACUACGUGCCAGCCGCCGCGGUAA
rnacentral:rRNA from 1 species